CCUUUACUGACGCUAAAGCUCGAAGGUGCGGGUAUCGAACAGGAUUAGAUACCCUGGUAGUCCGCACGGUAAACGAUGGAUGCCCGCUGUUGGCGAUACAGUGUCAGCGGCCAAGCGAAAGCGUUAAGCAUCCCACCUGGGGAGUACGCCGGCAACGGUGAAACUCAAAGGAAUUGACGGGGGCCCGCACAAGCGGAGGAACAUGUGGUUUAAUUCGAUGAUACGCGAGGAACCUUACCCGGGCUUGAACUGCAGGGGAACGAUCCAGAGAUGGUGAGGUCAGCAAUGACUCCUGUGGAGGUGCUGCAUGGUUGUCGUCAGCUCGUGCCGUGAGGUGUCGGCUUAAGUGCCAUAACGAGCGCAACCCUUUUCUCUAGUUGCCAUCAGGUUAGGCUGGGCACUCUGGAGACACUGCCACCGUAAGGUGUGAGGAAGGUGGGGAUGACGUCAAAUCAGCACGGCCCUUACGUCCGGGGCUACACACGUGUUACAAUGGGUGAUACAGAGAGUUAGUCGUUCGCAAGAACGGUUUAAUCAAGAAAGUCAUCCUCAGUUCGGAUUGGGGUCUGCAACCCGACCCCAUGAAGCUGGAUUCGCUAGU
rnacentral:rRNA from 1 species